GUGCUCACUUUGGCAGCACAUAUACUAAAAUUAGAAUGACACAGACAAGAUCAGCAUGGCCCCUGAGCAAGAAUGACCCACAAAUUNGUGAAGAAUUGGAAUUAUAA
rnacentral:snRNA from 1 species